CUAUGCGGCUGCUGUCACUGUAGAAGUAAAAAGGGUGUGUCAGGGUCAGGGUGUGUUAGUAAAAAAAAACGUAAACAGUGCUGUUGGCUGAUCAAUUUUGGUAAGUUUUUUAAUAAUUAAGUUCUUAAUUUUACGUAAGUAAGUGCCAUUUUAGCUAAAGUAAGUGGUAGAAGUCCUCCCCAAUGCGUGCUGGAUCCAUCAAAAGCGGUACACGCAUGUACCAGCGUAGGAAGGUGAUGUGAUGAACAACACAGCAUACGGCAGCGGAUGUAAUGCAGAAACGAUAUGGGCCUGCCGCAGCUGUUUUCCAUUGUACGUUGCAUUGUAUAUGAUUCGGUAUGUUCGCCAAUUUUCCUCUAUCCUGGAACGUGGGUUUCGAGAAACCAUCUAAGAACAUCCUCCGGAAGCUGUACGACGACGAGGCGAGCUCUACCAACACAACACGCUAGAAGCCCAACUGGCACCGGGUGCCCCGAUUGCGCCGCCGGACGGUGUCGAGCGCGCUCGUUCACAACGUUCGGGGCAGGAAUUCAACCUUUCGGAUCAUUAUCCUCUGCCUCACAAUAGCUGCAGCAGCAACAGGACCGAACCGACCGCACAACUGAUUGCAGUCAAAUUUCCUGGCAGGAGAAAAAAAUCCCACAAGUGUAUCGAACAGGCUAAUGACGGACCCCGAAAAGGCGACAAACAUUCAUCCCCAGCGGCCUAAGAUGUUCUUAGUGUUCAGUGGUGUGCGCGACCGUCAAAGUGUUAAAAAUUUUAAUUAACAAGAUAACACUAUUAUGGUGAUGUCGUGUAGAUGUGCGCAAGUGGAUUAAGAUAACACUUAAGUACGCUUUACGACAUAAAAAAAUGCAAAAUGCGCGUGUGUCUGAAGGGGCGGGAUAGCCGCUAACCAAACUAAGCGGCCGCGUGGGGCCCCGUGGUCUUUAGGGGCUUCAAAAAAUGGAACCCACCCCCGCUCGUAAGUAAAAUUGCUACCCAAUCCUUCUCUAGUUUAAAACAUUUCCCUGCUUCAACCAAACAAUUUGUGUGACUGCUUAGGGCCUCCACUCGUAUGUGCGGUUUUUACAUAACAUUUAAGAUAAAUAAAUCUAGUUUAUA